rnacentral:rRNA from 1 species
CCUACGGGAGGCAGCAGUGGGGAAUAUUGCACAAUGGGGGAAACCCUGAUGCAGCGACGCCGCGUGAGUGAAGAAGUAUUUCGGUAUGUAAAGCUCUAUCAGCAGGGAAGAAAAUGACGGUACCUGACUAAGAAGCCCCGGCUAACUACGUGCCAGCAGCCGCGGUAAUACGUAGGGGGCAAGCGUUAUCCGGAUUUACUGGGUGUAAAGGGAGCGUAGGUGGCAUGGUAAGCCAGAAGUGAAAACCCAGGGCUCAACCCCGCGGAUUGCUUUUGGAACUAUCAGGCUGGAGUGCUGGAGGGGUAAGCGGAAUUCCUAGUGUAGCGGUGAAAUGCGUAGAUAUUAGGAGGAACACCGGUGGCGAAGGCGGCUUACUGGACAGAAACUGACACUGAGGCUCGAAAGCGUGGGGAGCAAACAGGAUUAGAUACCCCAGUAGUC